AACAAAUAUACUAAUAUUUAGGAAAAGGUGUGCAUACCCUCCUUACCAAAGCAAUUAAAUGUACAUAUGUUGCCACUGGAUAAUAUAAAUAUUAUGUAACCACACAUUGUUUUACUAUUGUUAUAUAGAGAACCCCAAUAUUAGUCUUCUUUUUCUAUCUAGAGGGAACUUUUGCCUUCCUCAUUUCCUAUUUUCAAGACGUUUCUUUCUACACUCACCUCGCUAAUAUACAUGUGGUUUUUUCUCCUCUAUUCAUCCUUCUCCAUCAGACCAUCGGAUCUAAUAAACUAUGCCACUAUAUUUUUGUCACUACAUCUUUGUUAUGCUCCUUGAUCGUCCCCUUAGGGAAGCACCAACACUCGGUACUUAGCACAUGCGCCAGGAUCAGAAACCUGGCCGAUUGGCACUUAUCCCUCUCUCGGAACAGGCUUUCGCCCUGCUUUAAGCAACGAAACAAAGUACACAGGCGAACGAUACAAUAUAGUGGAGAGGUCCCCUUACAAAGUAGAUCAAAAGAUACAAAGAACAAGCCUAACACCUCGCCGAGGCACGAACAACGACCCCCGAGCUCAAUGACAACGCUCCCAAGAGGGUGACGGCGCGAAACGUCGCCGAAUGUUAGUGUUAGAUAUAGCGUCGGCGUGAGACAUUUCCAUAUGACAAAGGCAAAGUCACAUUUGGUGCAAACUUAGAUCUGAUUUUCUAGCAUCCUCCAUCAUGCGGUACCAUAUUCCCUGAAAACUAAUACCAAUAAAAUGCAUGACUUGUAGAAGUCGUCAAUAAUGAAUGCUGAAGUCUAGUAAAAAUUUGUGUUUUUCUAUAAACAUGCUAAAAACCAUAGAAUAAGCCAUUCCCAACAUUUGAUAUCACAAAAAGAUAAACUUAGCAAGUUGAAAAGGUCUAAAUCACCUUCUUUGAAACAUGUAGUAAAUCGUGAGGAACAUACAUUUUGCCUUCAUUUCUUAAAACCGGGUCACAAACCGCAGAUAGUUUGAACAUAUAUUAGCAAAUUCUGUUAAGAAUUCAUCUAUGAAGACACAAUAAGAUUUUGUACAAAAGAAUAACCAUAGGGAUAAUGGAAGGUGAGAAAAGGUUAUGAAUGGAAACAGAGCCAACGUAGUCUGAAUAGCAUAAAUAGCAUGGUACAUAAAAAACUAUUGAGAAAAUAAAUAAAUAUCAUGCUUAUUUGGUAUAAAGAAUUUCACUGUCAUUAAAGAAUUUCACUGUCAUUAAGGAUGAUGCUAAUUAUUUGCAAUCACAAUGAAGUAUGAGUGAAGACCAAUCAACUUGUAUUCUUUUUCUUUAACAUGAAGGAUGGGAAUAAGUCGUAAUGGUCAUUCACUUGUUAACAAAUUUGUAUGGUCGCCAGUCCUUCAAUAAGAAUCCGCAGUUGAUCGCCAUUGAGACACUGUCCUCCAAAGUUGAGUAUCCUGAGAUAAAGCAUAGUGGGAAAUAUUUAGCCAUGCCACACAUAUUGCACAUUGUAUCGAACAGCCCAAUUAUAUAAAUGUAUGAUUAGAGAACUGUGCAUGGUUUAUUGGAUCCAUAUCAAACCCAAGGAGUGGCAAAGGAAAGACAAGAUGCGAUAUAAGCAAAUCAUCUUUCAAUCUAAAGAGUAAAUUGCAUUUGUUGCCAGAUAUUAUGUUUAGUAGUCGUGAGUUCACCUUGUAUGUUCACAUCAUGCACAUAAAGUGGACCUUCUUUAAUUUUGAUUACACCACUACAAGCACACCCAAAUCCACAAAAAGAACAAAAAAUAAAUCACAAAACCUUCUUCAUAGCUCUACCUCUCUCCACCAUGCGGCC
rnacentral:lncRNA from 1 species